rnacentral:rRNA from 1 species
GACGAACGCUGGCGGCAUGCUUAACACAUGCAAGUCGAACGGAAAGGCCCUGCUUUUGUGGGGUGCUCGAGUGGCGAACGGGUGAGUAGCACGUGAGUAACCUGCCCUUGACUUUGGGAUAACUUCAGGAAACUGGGGCUAAUACCGGAUAGGAGCUCCUGCUGCAUGGUGGGGGUUGGAAAGUUUCGGCGGUUGGGGAUGGACUCGCGGCUUAUCAGCUUGUUGGUGGGGUAGUGGCUUACCAAGGCUUUGACGGGUAGCCGGCCUGGGAGGGUGACCGGCCACAUUGGGACUGAGAUACGGCCCAGACUCCUACGGGAGGCAGCAGUGGGGAAUAUUGCACAAUGGGCGGAAGCCUGAUGCAGCAACGCCGCGUGCGGGAUGACGGCCUUCGGGUUGUAAACCGCUUUCGCCUGUGACGAAGCGUGAGUGACGGUAAUGGGUAAAGAAGCACCGGCUAACUACGUG